rnacentral:rRNA from 1 species
AGAUUGAACGCUGGCGGCAUGCCUUACACAUGCAAGUCGAACGGUAGAGUAGCAAUACUUGAGUGUGGCGAACGGGUGAGUAAUAUAUCGGAACGUGCCCAGUCGUGGGGGAUAACGUAGAGAAAUUUACGCUAAUACCGCAUACGAUCUAAGGAUGAAAGCGGGGGACUCGCAAGAGCCUCGCGCGAUUGGAGCGGCUGAUAUCAGAUUAGGUUGUUGGUGAGGUAAAAGCUCACCAAGCCGACGAUCUGUAGCUGGUUUGAGAGAACGACCAGCCACACUGGGACUGAGACACGGCCCAGACU